AUGGUAGGGCCUUUUACAAGUUAAAUAGGUUGAAUUGACACCAAAAUUUGAACAAGUUCCUCUAGGUUCUAACAUGAUGGCAAUAGCAAAGGAGAGACAUUACUUGUUAGUUGAUGUGAUGUAUUAUUCAGGAACCAGAACCAGCCUUACUGUUGUCAUUUCAUAGAUUCUAUAAUUUCAGAAUAUUAUUAUUUACCAGAGUUUUAGACGUGCAUAACUGGUUGAUUAGUCCCUGAAUAAAAAUUUGCAAACAUGGUGUACUGAGGUUUUAUUUAUAUCAAUGUGCCAGGUCAAUAUGGAAUGCCCCUUGGAGAUUAAUAGAUUGUUUGGAAAGUGGAGGUGCUCAUCUUUUAGAAAUCAUGAGUGUCCUUUUAAACGAAAAUUGGACUUUUUAAUUUUGAGAAAAUUAAUAUAUUAUGGCAUAAAAGUAUUCUUUUAGAAAUUCAAGAUGGGAGAAAAUUUAGAGGCAAGAAU
rnacentral:misc_RNA from 1 species